rnacentral:rRNA from 1 species
GAUGAACGCUGGCGGCGUGCCUAAUACAUGCCAGUCGAACGAACAGAUAAUAAGCUUUCUCUUUUGCCGUUAGCGACUGACGGGCGAGUAACACGUGCAUCACCUUCUUCUUUUUCUUGGAUAACUUCGUAAGACCGCUGCCAAUACUGCCUAAUAUAUUCAACCGCAUGAUUCAGUAGAUCAUCGCGGCUUUCCCGAUUCUUUUAGCUGGAUUCGCGUCGUAUUAGCUAGUUGGUAAGGUAACGGCUUACCAAGGCUACGAUACGUAGCCGACCUGAGAGGGUGAUCGGCCACACUGGAACUGAGACACGGUCCAGACUCCUACGGGAGGCAGCAGUGGGGAAUAUUGGACAAUGGGCGAAAGCCUGACGGAGCAACGCCGCGUGAGUGAAGAAGGUCUUCGGGUCGUAAAACUCUGUUAUCAGGGAAGAAAAAAAGUGGAAGUAACUGUGCACGUCUUGACGGUACCUAAUCAGAAAGCAACGGCUAACUACGUG